GUUGUUGUGGCCGAGUGGUUAAGGCGAUGGACUAGAUAUCCAUUGGGGUCCCCCCGCUCAGGUUCAAAUCCUGCCGAUAACG